rnacentral:rRNA from 1 species
UACGGAGGGUGCAAGCGUUAAUCGGAAUUACUGGGCGUAAAGCGUGCGUAGGUGGUUCGUUAAGUCCGUUGUGAAAGCCCCGAGCUCAACUUGGGAAUUGCAGUGGAUACUGGCGAGCUGGAGUGCGGUAGAGGAAGGUGGAAUUCCCGGUGUAGCGGUGAAAUGCGCAGAUAUCGGGAGGAACACCGGUGGCGAAGGCGGUUCUCUGGGCCUGACCUGACGCUGAGGAGCGAAAGCGUGGGGAGCGAACAGG